UGCGUGGUUAGCUACAGUAGUUCCUGUUUUAACCUCAAUAAACACUCAGACACAGAUGUGAGGUAAUAGAGAUACGGUGCCAGACGAAGAGGAGAGGAGGUGAAGAUGUUGGCGACGGUGAAGGUAUUCCUGCUGAUUUGGGCCGUCGGUGCUGCAGUCAUUUUAACAACGGCAGACAAUGAUGAAAAUACUGAAACAGAUGAUACAGAUGAUGAUUAUUCCUUCUUCGGCAGUGGUGAAUUAAACGUUUCCCUUUUCAUACCUGAAAACUUUGGGACGUUGCAACCGCCAUGGGUAGAUGAAGAAGACCUGCCCUCUCCUUCCUCCUCAACCAUAGACACGUCCUCCAGCUCAUUUACAGCUAACUUCAACCCACUCUGUCUGGUCUAUGUUCUCUUGCUUUUGUUAUGUUAGCAUAGUUAGAAGUUUAGAUAUUCACUCACAUUCACCUGUGCAAAAUAAGGAUUUAAAUUGCCUCUAUUGUCGGACAUCAAGACAUCUUUUUUUUUUUAUCACCUAUGGACGUCCACUGCUGUGGAAAUCAUUGAAUGGGUCACCUAAUGCUAUGCCCUGUUACGUCCUGCUAUACCCUGCAGUGCCCUGCUACGCCCUGUAACGCCCUGCAGUGCCCUGCAGUG